rnacentral:lncRNA from 1 species
AAGCAGCCCAGGGACAGAUAAAUUUUUCCGCAAAAUGUUCAGAGACCGGGACCGUUCGGUUGAAGAUUCCAAAUUGUUGAGUGCCAAGAAGAACAGGGAGGUGCGUUGAGAAGAUAUUUAGCCUGCCUAUGAUAUCAAGAUGAUUUUGGUAUGAUGAUAUUAUUUUAAUGAAAACAAGAUGAUUUUGGUAUGAUGAUAUUAUUUCUGUGUUCCCAAUUAUACAUAUAUAUAAAGUCUGCAUUAUUAGGGUGCAGAAUCACUUUAUGAUAAUCCCUACAAAUCAGGGAUUACUCUGCCUACCAUUUAUUACUAAUAUACUGCAUAAAUCAGGCUAGAUAGAUCAAAUAAGACAGCUAGCUUACUCUAAUUUCUAUGCUUAAUCACAUCUUAAUUAUUGCUGUAAUUC